AUGGCUGAAGAAAAUCAUACCAUGAAAAGUGAGUUUUUCCUCACAGGAUUUACAGAUCACCCAGAGUUGAAGAGCCUUCUGUUGGUGGUGUUCUUUGCCAUCUAUCUGAUUACCAUGGUGGGGAAUUUGGCCUGGUGAUACUGAUUUCAAAAGAGCAUCAUCUUCACACACCAAUGUACAUCUUUCUGGGCAACCUGGCUGUUGUGGAUUCUUGCUGUGCCUGUGCCAUCACUCCUAAGAUAUUAGGGAAUUUCUUUUCUGAGAACAGAAUGGUUUCCCUCUAUGAAUGUAUGGCACAAUUUUAUUUCCUUUGCACUGUUGAAACUACGAGCUGCUUUCUCCUGGCAGCAGCGGCCUAUGAUCGCUAUGUGGCCAUAUGCAGCCCACUGCAGUACCACAUCAUGAUGUCAAAGAAACUCUGCAUUCAGAUGACAACAGGAGCCUUCAUAGCCGGAAAUCUGCAUUCCAUGAUUCACUUAGGGCUUCUAUUUAGGUUAGCUUUCUGUGGAUCUAAUCACAUUAACCACUUUUAUUGUGAUAUUUUUCCUUUAUACAGACUCUCCUGUGUUGACCCUUAUGUCAAUGAACUGGUACUAUUUAUCUUUUCAGGUUCAAUUCAAGUCUUCACCAUAGGCAGUGUCUUAAUAUCUUACUUCCACAUUCUCUUUACUACUUCCAAAAUGAAAUCCAAAGAAGGAAGGGUCAAAGCCUUUUCUACCUGUGCAUCCCACUUUUUAUCUGUUUCAUUAUUCUAUGGAUCUCUUUUUUUCAUGUACAUUAAACCAAAUUUGCUUGAAGAAGGCAAUAGAGAUAUACCAGCUGCUAUUUUGUUUACAAUAGUAGUUACCUUACUAAAUCCUUUUAUUUAUAGCUUGAGACAUAAGGAAGUAAUAACUGUCUUAAGAAAAAUUCUGAAGAAAAAAGAUUUCAUGAAAGUUGGAAACAAAUGA